rnacentral:lncRNA from 1 species
GUACCUCCAAUCUUUCUAGCCACUUCUUAGUCACAUAAACUCACAUUAAUUUGUAUGUCUUAAGACUCCAAAAGUAGUACCAUACUGAAUGUAUUCCAUCAGCUCUGUCUUUCUGUGCAGAGCAGCGACUGUGCACCCGGAGAGGCUGACUCUAACCGUAGCAUGGUUUUCCAUGUAGGAAGGCACUAGUAUUGACUUGCUUUGGAAGUAGUGUUAGGGAAAGGACCCAGGGCCUGUGCUUGCUGGGCACAUGCUGUGCCUCUGAGCCACACUGCCAUGCCAGCCUUGCUCAUUGGGCUGCAUAUUGUAGGAAAUAAACGCAUCAUCAUCUAGGUACUUUGGCUAGAGUUGGGAUGCUUUGUCGACAUAUAUGGCACAGCCAUCCUAGAUGCAGAAUAUAAAUGUCUUAAGUUCAAACUUUAGAAAUAGGUGAUGUAGGCUUGCCCAGUGGUGGUCUUUAUGGAUUCUUUGUAAGUUUCACAUUAUCACCUCAAUCCUGCUCACCACCCCAUCCCUUCUGAUGGCCCUCUACCCUUGCAAUCUACCCCCAAAAGAAAGUUAAAAAACAACAAAAAAUAAACAAAACAUAGGAACCAUCUUCCUAUGGAAGCUGUAGGGUAUCACAGUGUGUCCCACAGUAUACCCUCUUGACCAUGUAUCCUUUCUUGCAAAUGCUCAUUGCAUUGAGUCACUGGUCUGAUUCAAGGCCUUUGGCUUCUGCCACACUGUCAACGCUGGAUCCUUACCAGGAUUGCUCUCAGAUAUCCUUUUGUUGCCCUGUGUCAUGAGAUCUAGAAAGUUUGGAUUUGUAAGGUAGAUUUUUGGGGUAGGCCAACUCAAAGCCCUAGAUCUAGCCUGGGUUGGUCAGACCUAGCUGGGUUGGUCAGCACGCCAGCUCUCCCACACCUAUACUACCGUGGGAACUCUCUGGCAUUGCCCCAGCUAGCUCACACAGCUGGCUAGGGGCAGGGGCAACUCACUUGUGCCUGUGUCUCCAGAGCCAGCUCUACUAUACUGCUGCUCGGUGAACUGCAAGGCCUGCUGUCCUGGGUGCUGCAGCCCAAGAGGGGCUGGGUCAGCCCUUUAACUCUCGCACCCUUGAGCUCCACCACCCCUGCCUUCGCCACGAGGGCCAGCUCCACUGCCCUUCCCAGGAGAGGUAUAGGGCCUACAGCAGUGGGUUUUUUGUCUUGUUUUGUUGUUGUUGUUGGUUUGGUUUGGGUUGGGUUUGUUCUUGUUGUUUUAAUAUGGUGCCUCAUUUAAAUCUACAUUUUAGAUGAAUAGCUUCCUAGUACCAGAUAUCUUGUACUGAAGUUUAAAUAUAAUUGGGAAAGUUUUAUUUUUAUUUGCCAAAUUGAGCAACCAUAAGUAGAAUUUUUAUAUAAAGUAAACAACCUCUCCAUUACCCUGUCUCAUUGCCCCAAGUUUAGGAUGUUAUUUUGUUUUUGUAAAUAAUAUAAUAGCUAUACAUGUAUUGCCUGCAUUUUAAAAAUGAAGGAUGAAGGUCUCUACUUUGCUUUUCAACUUCCUCCACUGGAUCUAUCUCAGCAGCUUCCUUGUGUUUGUGUCUGAACCACAUUUAGCAGUGUAGAUGGUUAAUAUUUUGAUUUUUUUUCUUAAGUGAGGUUGUAAGAUAAUACUUGCUUCCUUGUUUUUAAGAGCUAAUGAAAUAUUUUCAGUUGUGUAAAGUUACUGUCAUUUGUAACAAAUAUAUUUAAGAUCAACCCAGUACAAAGUCCCUAAGACUUGAGGACUACACUUGGAGCAAUGCUGGUUCUGUUGUUAAAGACAGAAGAUUAGUAGUGAGGUCUGCAUGCAUCUGUAGGGGCGAUGUUGACGGGAGAGCCAAGUGCUGAAAUGGGACCAAGAUGUGCUGGCUGGACACAUUUUCUGUGUAUUUUGGGGAAGAUUACAUAACCUGUCUAGACUUCCUCUUAUGCUUCUUUAAUGUUAUAACAGGGAGAAUUAAUAAAUAAAAGGAGUUUGGCUUGGUUUUAGAAACUAUAUUUUAUUUCAGCUACUAUAACAAAAUGCACUAAAUUAAGUCAUUUAUAAUCAAGAGAAAAAUUAUUGCUUACAGUUCUGGCGGCUGGGAAGUCCAAAGAUCUGGGCACCAGAAGAUUUAUUGUUUAUAAAGGGCUCACGUUUGCAUCAGACAUCCUGCUACAUCGUCAAGUAAAGGGGCAAACAGGCUGCUUGGAUACCUUUCCGAGGCCCAACACUAACUACCCUCACAUUGGGAACUACAUAUCAAUAGAGGAUCUCAGAGGGAUGCAAGCAAUCUGACCAUAUUAGGAAUCCUGUCAUAUAUUUAGGAAAGCCCCACAUAACUUUCACUGACCUCAAGGUAACAUCAGAGGAAGGAGUGAAGGUCUUAAGUGUUUUGUUGAAGUUGAAGACAUUCUCAUCACUUAAAAGAGUAGAGACUUGAGCCUAUUCAGGGUAUCUUCCAGGCUCUCACAACUGCCUAAGGGUAAAAAUUGAUAUGGCUAGCAUAAAUUAUUUUUAAUUACAAUGUGGAAAAAUGACUUAGUAAAAUGUUUUCAUUCACAUAGCCCUCAUAUAAUUAUAAAGCCAAAGAUUUUAACAUUUUAAUGUUUUAAUUGAAAUAGAAUUGUAUCAUGUCCCCAUAUUAUACAAUUUUCUCCUCCAACUCUUCCCAGCCAUUCUCCCUGGAACCCCUCUUAUAUCCCCCCUUCUUAAUUCGAUAGCCUCCUUGUCUUUGAUUAUUAUUAUUGGGGUGUGUGCAUGUACAGAUAUGUAGAAAUAUACCUGCUGAAUCCGUUUUUGUUUGUGUGUGUGUGUGUAUGGUUUCAAAGCUGAUCAUUUUGCAUUGUAUAGCCAAUCAAGGGGCUCAUCCUUAGGAGAGGGUAAUUCUCCCUCUUCCAACAGUUCUAAGUGUCUGAGGGUGAGACCCAGUAAACCCUCCCUCCACAUUGAAAUGUCUACUGAUAUGCCAGUGGCUACGUCUAGGAGAGACUCUUUGACAGCAGACCUCUUGGCACACUGGCUUUUACAGUCUUUCUGUUCCCUCUUCUUCGAUGUCCCCUGAGUCAUAAGCACAGAAGCUGUGAUGGAGCUAUAUCUGUUAAUUUCUGCAUUGCAUCCAGUUUCAGUUUUCUGUAAUGGUUUCCAGUUGGUAUAAAGAGAGGAUUCUUGGAUGAGGAAUGAGAGUAGCUAUACUUAGCCAUGAGAGGUAGCUCACACGCCAAGAGGGUUCUAUGUCAUGGCUAGGCUUGUGGAUUUGCAGAUGGGGAAGGGCCAGAAAAGGUGGCCCUUUAGCAGUUUUAAUGCAACUAAAGCUACAGAACCAAUACACUCUAAAGUCACUGUGACAUGUUACAGCUAUAAAGUUACUGUUCAGAUUAUGAACACAGGGUGGUCUGGUUUCAGGGAGAAGUCUUUCAGUGUUGAGAGUGUGUGUGAUGCUGUCUGUGUAUUUUAGUAUUUGCUUAGGCCAAUGUCAACUGUUAGUCUUCCAGUCCAGCAUGACAUUUUGCACAUGACACAAAUGUAGAAACUGUGUUUCUACAUUCUACAUGCUCCCCUGUCUACCAAGCUUUUGAAAUCCUGCAGUUUGAGUGGUCCAUCUGUAAAUGUUAAUCACAGUGAAUGUGGCUGGCGCUGACGUGGGAAGCAGCAGUUGUUUAUGACACUUAGAGGACUCAGGGUAGAUUUGUGCUGGGCUUUUAUUUUUCUUUGAAAGAGAAAUUAUAUUAUUAAUUUCAAGAGAAAGACACUGUCAGCUCCACAGGAUGUCAAGCAAUCCAGUUUGAGAAAUUCCUGCUCCUCACUUGUGUGUUAUUAAUGAAUCUAUGUAGGUUUGUGUUACAAACAACAAGGAUGGGCCUUUCAUUAGUACAGAACUCUCUGGGACUCCCUUGUGUAGUUGUCACUUUCUUCUCAUUUCCUGGUUUUGAGGUUGCAUUAAGAGCAGGGAUUCUGGCAGAGGCAGGCAGAGCUCUGAUUUGGAGGCCAGUCUGGUCUACAGACUGAGCUAUAGGACAACCAGGGCUACACAAACUGUCUUGAAAAAAAAAUG